rnacentral:lncRNA from 1 species
AGUUUUGCCUCCCCCUUCGGCCCCGGCGCGGAGGGCAUCCCGGGGGCCGGGUCCUCGCCCGCCGCCCGCGCCCCCACCCCGAACGCAGGGCACUCUCAGGCCGCCCCGAGCCCUAGGCCCGGCCAAGCCUGGCUUUGUCUACGCCUCAACGUAGAGAUCGGCCCCCACUGGGCUUUGGGGGGUUCUCUCUCUGGGCGUGAGGGGCUAGAGAGGCGAGUCCAGUCCCAGAUGCGCUCCCAGAAGAUGAGGACGCAGCCAGGAGCCUCCUCGACCUGUGUGGGUCUUGGCCGCCCCCGGGCGCACAGCUAGUCUGCACCGCGGCCCGCAAGCUUAGGCCUGGGGUCUGGGGAGCUGCGCGGGCAGGGGUCUCGGUGUCCGGACCGCCAGUGUAAGGACAGUCGGGGCCCCCUGGAGACGCCCGUGCCCAAGGACAUGCCGCCAAGAUCCGUGGAGAUGCCACCCUUCGGCCAGCGUGCGUGUCGGGGACCAUUUCUUACCCUGGCUUGCUGGGGAGCCCCGGCCCCGACGCCCUUCCCGAACCUUCCUUCUAACAGCUUUAAAACAACGCCACAGCGAGCCUCUGCGGGAGCGCCCGGUACCCGCCGCGCCCGCCUGCCUGGCCCUACCCGGGUUGCUGGGCGCGGGUUGGGGCGCCUGCCGGCCCGCCUUGUACGGCCCCAGCCUCUGCGCUCCGCCUUCGCUUCGCGGGUCAGCAGAGGACGGAGGGCGCUCCGGGAGCUGCACGAGGCUGCCCCGGGCCCAGCCUCCGCUGCGCUGGCAGCCCGCGGGCAGCUCCGAGCAGGAGGCUCAGGGUGGCUGGAGUGUGGGGCCCGGCCUCGGUGAGCGACACCACGGACCCCGGCCCCGGGCCAUCUGGACGGCGAGCGCGAGCGCGUUUGAAGUGGUUGGGGGGCUCUUUGUUCGCCAGGCCGCUCUGGCUCUGGGCCUGGAGGUGGUUUUUACGGCUUUGAUGCCUUUGAACCUAUUCCCAGGUGACCCGGGCUCAAUUAGGCCCGGGCCUGAGCCGGGCUGUCAGGCAAGCCGCGUGAUCAAGGGCGGGCUGGGCCCUUUUAUUGAAGUUGAACCCGAGACCGGGGAGUGCUCGGCCUCCGCUGCUCCUCCGGCCGGCCAGGCGGGCCGCGAGGUGGGGCCCGCGGGCCACGACCACCGCGUUGGGAAACCCGAGGACGGCAAAGAGCGGGCCCUUCGCGCCCCUGUCCGAGGGCCCUGGCUCCGGCCGUUCUAGGGGACGUUUUACCAACAAUCCGUCCAGGAAGGCAGAACGCCUAGGAGCGGGCCCUCGCAUGCAUGUGAGUCGGUAGCAGCGCCCUGCGCAGUGUCCGCGCACCGGACCCGCGGCUUCAGUUCGGUGCCUAAAGGUUCUGCAGAGCCACCGCACCCAGCCCCACCCGGCCUGACCGCCCUCCUUCCUCCGCGCUGGGAAGGCCCACGGCCCCUCUAGCCCAACAAAAUAGCUUUCCAGGUCCCUUUCUUUAAAAUUCUCAAAUAAAAAUUUAAGGAACGAGAGAGAGAGAGAGAGAGAAGCCAGGUCCCCAGCCGUCCUGCCGGUGCUGGGCUGCAGCCCUUCCUGGGGCUUCACGUCAGAUGGAAAGGGCCUGUUUUUCCCGAACUGGCCUUUCCCUGGUUUCUUUGCUCAGAGCAGUGACAGUAGCGAUUUGCUGCCCUUUUACCAACCCUGUGUGGGUCCAAGGACCCAGAUCCAGGGACAUCUUCCCUUUCCCAGAUGCGGAGGGCUUUUACUGAGGAGAGGACCUGCCUGGUAGCCUGCUUCGCCAUCCUCGUCUCCCUGUCUGCGUGCCCCUGUGUCACUCUGGCUCUGUCGGCGUGUCUCUUUCUCUGUCCUUUCUGUCUCUUUCUCCAGCAGAGAGAGUUCAUAGUUUAGUUUGAAAGAAAAACAGCUCAGCUUUGGUCCUGAGCAGCCCAGGGCUCAGCCCAGCCCUGAAGACCAGAGGCCCCGGGGACGCCCUGGAAGGGCAGCGCAAGCUGGAUUGCAGGCUCACCUCUGCCUGGGGAGAUGGACCUGGAGGAUUUCACCUGCGACCCCCCGGGGCGCCCUGGAGCUAUCAUAACCAGCAGCCCAGUUCAACCGUCUGGAUGCACUUUCUUCAUGGCGUGUCUUGUCUAUUUUAAAAUGCUUUAACAAUGAUUAUAGUACUGGAGGCUGUGAUACUGACGGCUGCCUGCGGAAAACCUUGCUUAACAGAAUUUGGAGUGACUUUCUUAUGCUGUAUUGCCAGCCCCUCAGAGUCAUUACCUGGGCAGUGACCCCUUGCAUACAUAGGAGAAGCUAAGGCACAGUGGCAUUUAGCAGCGUUUCCAAUGUCACCUGUAUGUUGGCUGGGGAAGUGACAGCAUUCCCCUCUUUUGAGGAGGGGAAUUUGCUGAAUUAAAACCCAAAUGAAAAUGUCAUCAAUUUGGGAAAUAAUACUCAGGUUAUUGAUUUAGUUUGAGUUUUUCUUUCAAAAAUUAAGUCAGUGAUAAGGCUAAUAAAGCCAAUUUAUUAAUAGCAUAAGUAAUACAAUAUAUCUCUGUGUGAAUACUCUUUGCAGGACCACCCAGGCUCACUUGGACUUCAGUAAAAUAUCACGCAACAAAGAUUCACAGAAGUAAAUACAGUUCUUGGGGUACUUAUUCAUUACUGAGUAUGGAAAAUCCUGUGAAUGCUUCCUUUCAUAUAUGUAAAAAAGUGUGCUUUGUUUCAUGUGACUUUGUGUUUUUUAAAAAAAAAUGAACUGGUGUUCUGAAAGAUUCUUCUAUUGCACAUUUUCCUUAGGGCAGCAAGUAACAGAAGGUGAUAUGUUUUCACAGCAAAUUUGCCAGCUAUUAGAUUGGCUUUAAUCUUGCUGCAGUAGAAUGACACUGCAGGGAUUGUCACCUGGGGAUAGUCUUCAAGAAUAGCAGCCAGGCACGGUGGCUCGCGCCUGUAAUCCCCCAACUCUUUGGGAGGCCAAGGCAGGUGGAUCACCUGAGGUUGGGAGGUCGAGACCAGCCUGGCCAACAUAGUGAAAGCCCAUUUGUACUAAAAAUACAAAAAUUAGCUGGGUGUGGUGGUGCAUGCCUGUAAUUUCAGCUACUCGGGAGGCUGAGGCAGGAUAAUCGCUUGAACCCAGGAGGCGGAGGUUGCAGUGAGCCAAGAUCAUGCCACUGCACUCCAGCCUGGACGAUAGAGCAAGACUGUGUCAAAAAAAAAAAAAAAGAAAGAAAAGAAAGAAAAAAGAAUACGACGCAAUUAUACAGCCCCUGGGCUUUCUUAGGAUAAGAAACUGUGUACUUGCUCAGAUGUGAAAAAAAUUUAGUAAACUCUCAGGAGCUAAAUAAAGCAAUGAAUUUAUACAUUUGAA